rnacentral:snRNA from 1 species
AUCUUUGCCUUGGCAGAGGAGAUCCCAUGAUCACGAAAGUGGUUUACCCAAGUGAGGCCUGUCCCUUGCACUCCAGUCAGGCAGGCUGACCCUGCAAGUUUUAAUGGCAAAAUUUUGUGGAAAUAGUGGAUUGUAUUCAUACUUCCCCUCU